ACUGAAUCACCUGCUCUGUUGCCCUGCCUGGAUUCCCUUUAAUUCUGAGAGGUCUCAGUUUCCUGACAAAGGGCAGAGGGUUCCUGGUCUCCUUGCACUUCCCUCGCUCCCCGCUUACUCCCCUCUCUCCAGCAAAAACACUUCUGAAAAAGCAAGGUUUCUCAUCUGGCAGUUGCUUCUCUCACCACUAGAUGGCACAUGUAGCGCAGAUCAUCAGUCUUUUGGGCAAAAAUUGUGUUAAAACUCCAUCUCGAUCCACAAAAGCUUUGAUAGGAAUCACAAAAUUUGCAAAAUAUAAGUUGAGGGUAGAGGGUUGUGGCUCAGUGGCAGAGUGUGUGCCUCGCUCAUGUGAGGCACUGGGUUCAAUCCUCAGCUCCACAUAAAUAAAGAUAUUGUGCCCAUGUAUAACUAAAAAAUAUUUUAAAAACCUAUUUGUAUAAAAAGAACCCAUGAGAUGAAAAGUUGAGGGGACUGGAGAAAACAGAACAAGUAGAGGAAACAACUCUGAAUGGCAUUAGCUCAAGGAGAUCAAUGUCAGCAGAGGCUCACAUAUUUGUCUCCAAGCUUCUGCACAGCCAAAGAAGGAAUCAUGAGUGCUAACAAAGUUCCAGGUUUUAUACUGGAAAAACAAAGGAAUAAUUCUAGAGAAGCUCAGCUUUCCUGAUCCUGACACUGGAGAGAUUCUUCUAGGGGGUUCCCUGAAUGAGCCAGUGACAUGAGUUCAUCAAUGACUUGUUUUUUACAAUGUCCUUCUAUGCAAGCCGAUCGCCUGAUGCUACAGUAAAGUUGAGGAAAAUCAAGGCUUUUUGAGACAUAAUAUUUGUGCAUCUUUGUGGGGUACAAUAUAUAGGGUAUUUUGAUGCAUGUAUACAACAUGUAAUGAUCAAACCAG
rnacentral:lncRNA from 1 species